CAUGGCUCAGGACGAACGCUGGCGGCGUGCUUAACACAUGCAAGUCGAACGGGGUGUUUAUUUCGGUAAACACCAAGUGGCGAACGGGUGAGUAACGCGUAAGCAAUCUACCUUCAAGAUGGGGACAACACUUCGAAAGGGGUGCUAAUACCGAAUGAAUGUAAGAGUAUCGCAUGAGACACUUACUAAAGGAGGCCUCUGAAAAUGCUUCCGCUUGAAGAUGAGCUUGCGUCUGAUUAGCUAGUUGGUGAGGGUAAAGGCCCACCAAGGCGACGAUCAGUAGCCGGUCUGAGAGGAUGAACGGCCACAUUGGGACUGAGACACGGCCCAGACUCCUACGGGAGGCAGCAGUGGGGAAUCUUCCGCAAUGGGCGAAAGCCUGACGGAGCAACGCCGCGUGAACGAUGAAGGUCUUAGGAUCGUAAAGUUCUGUUGUUAGGGACGAAGGAUAAGGAUUAUAAUACAGUCUUUGUUUGACGGUACCUAACGAGGAAGCCACGGCUAACCACGUGCCAGCAGCCGCGGUAAUACGUAGGCGGCAAGCGUGGUCCGGAAUUAUUGGGCGUAAAGGGAGCGCAGGCGGGAAACUAAGCGGAUCUUAAAAGUGCGGGGCUCAACCCCGUGAUGGGGUCCGAACUGGUUUUCUUGAGUGCAGGAGAGGAAAGCGGAAUUCCCAGUGUAGCGGUGAAAUGCGUAGAUAUUGGGAAGAACACCAGUGGCGAAGGCGGCUUUCUGGACUGUAACUGACGCUGAGGCUCGAAAGCUAGGGUAGCGAACGGGAUUAGAUACCCCGGUAGUCCUAGCCGUAAACGAUGGAUACUAGGUGUGGGAGGUAUCGACUCCUUCCGUGCCGGAGUUAACGCAAUAAGUAUCCCGCCUGGGGAGUACGGCCGCAAGGUUGCAACUCAAAGGAAUUGACGGA
rnacentral:rRNA from 1 species